rnacentral:SRP_RNA from 1 species
UAGGGUAAGUCUUACACGACCAGCUCCCUCUGAACUCCCCCAGGCCUUGAUCGGAGCAAGGGUAGGAGGUUGUAGCGGUGCGAUGUAAAUCGCUUACCCU